GAGACUCUAUUCGAACUAACAUUUUCCGCGUCCAUCGUGAGGGAUUGCAUUUUUCGAGGUGCGACACUCCACAAAUAAACCAAUCGGAAAAUGGGGGUGCAAAAGCCACUCCGAAGUCAAUAUUUGGCAGUGGAGGAAACUUUGGGGGAAAUAGUUCAAGAGCCAUUUCAUAGUGUUUAUCUCGAGGAACAUAUGAGGGAAUAUUUAAAGUUUCCAUUUUCUUUGAAAACUUCUCUUUGAGCGUAACAGCUGCUUCGCGGAUUGUUCGACUAAG
rnacentral:lncRNA from 1 species